CACUAUCGUUAACUGAAUACAUAGGUUAACGAGGCGAACCGGGGGAACUGAAACAUCUAAGUACCCCGAGGAAAAGAAAUCAACCGAGAUUCCCCCAGUAGCGGCGAGCGAACGGGGAGCAGCCCAGAGUCUGAAUCAGCUUGUGUGUUAGUGGAACGGUCUGGAAAGUCCGACGGUACAGGGUGAUAGUCCCGUACACCAAAAUGCACAGGCUGUGAACUCGAAGAGUAGGGCGGGACACGUGGUAUCCUGUCUGAAUAUGGGGGGACCAUCCUCCAAGGCUAAAUACUCCUGACUGACCGAUAGUGAACCAGUACCGUGAGGGAAAGGCGAAAAGAACCCCGGCGAGGGGAGUGAAAAAGAACCUGAAACCGUGUACGUACAAGCAGUGGGAGCACCUUCGGGUGUGACUGCGUACCUUUUGUAUAAUGGGUCAGCGACUUAUAUUCUGUAGCAAGGUUAACCGUAUAGGGGAGCCGCAGGGAAACCGAGUCUUAACUGGGCGUUAAGUUGCAGGGUAUAGACCCGAAACCCGGUGAUCUAGCCAUGGGCAGGUUGAAGGUUGGGUAACACUAACUGGAGGACCGAACCGACUAAUGUUGAAAAAUUAGCGGAUGACUUGUGGCUGGGGGUGAAAGGCCAAUCAAACCGGGAGAUAGCUGGUUCUCCCCGAAAGCUAUUUAGGUAGCGCCUCGUGAACUCAUCUUCGGGGGUAGAGCACUGUUUCGGCUAGGGGGUCAUCCCGACUUACCAACCCGAUGCAAACUACGAAUACCGAAGAAUGUUAUCACGGGAGACACACGGCGGGUGCUAACGUCCGUCGUGAAGAGGGAAACAACCCAGACCGCCAGCUAAGGUCCCAAAGUCAUGGUUAAGUGGGAAACGAUGUGGGAAGGCACAGACAGCCAGGAUGUUGGCUUAGAAGCAGCCAUCAUUUAAAGAAAGCGUAAUAGCUCACUGGUCGAGUCGGCCUGCGCGGAAGAUGUAACGGGGCUAAACCAUGCACCGAAGCUGCGGCAGCGACACUAUGUGUUGUUGGGUAGGGGAGCGUUCUGUAAGCCUGCGAAGGUGACCUGUGAGGGUUGCUGGAGGUAUCAGAAGUGCGAAUGCUGACAUAAGUAACGAUAAAGCGGGUGAAAAGCCCGCUCGCCGGAAGACCAAGGGUUCCUGUCCAACGUUAAUCGGGGCAGGGUGAGUCGACCCCUAAGGCGAGGCCGAAAGGCGUAGUCGAUGGGAAACAGGUUAAUAUUCCUGUACUUGGUGUUACUGCGAAGGGGGGACGGAGAAGGCUAUGUUAGCCGGGCGACGGUUGUCCCGGUUUAAGCAUGUAGGCUGGUUGUCCAGGCAAAUCCGGAUAAUCAAGGCUGAGGUGUGAUGACGAGGUACUACGGUGCUGAAGUAACAAAUGCCCUGCUUCCAGGAAAAGCCUCUAAGCAUCAGGUAACAUUAAAUCGUACCCCAAACCGACACAGGUGGUCAGGUAGAGAAUACCAAGGCGCUUGAGAGAACUCGGGUGAAGGAACUAGGCAAAAUGGUGCCGUAACUUCGGGAGAAGGCACGCUGGUGUGUAGGUGAAGUCCCUGCGGAUGGAGCUGAGACCAGUCGAAGAUACCAGCUGGCUGCAACUGUUUAUUAAAAACACAGCACUGUGCAAACACGAAAGUGGACGUAUACGGUGUGACGCCUGCCCGGUGCCGGAAGGUUAAUUGAUGGGGUUAUCCGUAAGGAGAAGCUCUUGAUCGAAGCCCCGGUAAACGGCGGCCGUAACUAUAACGGUCCUAAGGUAGCGAAAUUCCUUGUCGGGUAAGUUCCGACCUGCACGAAUGGCGUAAUGAUGGCCAGGCUGUCUCCACCCGAGACUCAGUGAAAUUGAACUCGCUGUGAAGAUGCAGUGUACCCGCGGCAAGACGGAAAGACCCCGUGAACCUUUACUAUAGCUUGACACUGAACAUUGAGCCUUGAUGUGUAGGAUAGGUGGGAGGCUUUGAAGCGUGGACGCCAGUCUGCGUGGAGCCAACCUUGAAAUACCACCCUUUAAUGUUUGAUGUUCUAACGUUGGCCCCUGACCGGGGUUGCGGACAGUGUCUGGUGGGUAGUUUGACUGGGGCGGUCUCCUCCCAAAGCGUAACGGAGGAGCACGAAGGUUAGCUAAUCCUGGUCGGACAUCAGGAGGUUAGUGCAAUGGCAUAAGCUAGCUUGACUGCGAGCGUGACGGCGCGAGCAGGUGCGAAAGCAGGUCAUAGUGAUCCGGUGGUUCUGAAUGGAAGGGCCAUCGCUCAACGGAUAAAAGGUACUCCGGGGAUAACAGGCUGAUACCGCCCAAGAGUUCAUAUCGACGGCGGUGUUUGGCACCUCGAUGUCGGCUCAUCACAUCCUGGGGCUGAAGUAGGUCCCAAGGGUAUGGCUGUUCGCCAUUUAAAGUGGUACGCGAGCUGGGUUUAGAACGUCGUGAGACAGUUCGGUCCCUAUCUGCCGUGGGCGCUGGAGAAUUGAGGGGGGCUGCUCCUAGUACGAGAGGACCGGAGUGGACGCAUCACUGGUGUUCGGGUUGUCAUGCCAAUGGCACUGCCCGGUAGCUAAAUGCGGAAGAGAUAAGUGCUGAAAGCAUCUAAGCACGAAACUUGCCCCGAGAUGAGUUCUCCCUGAGACUUUAAGUCUCCUGAAGGAACGUUAAAGACGAUGACGUUGAUAGGCCGGGUGUGUAAGCGCAGCGAUGCGUUGAGCUAACCGGUACUAAUGAACCGUGAGGCUUAACCUU
rnacentral:rRNA from 1 species